AACGAACGCUGGCGGCAUGCCUAACACAUGCAAGUCGAACGAGACCUUCGGGUCUAGUGGCGCACGGGUGCGUAACGCGUGGGAAUCUGCCCUUGGGUUCGGAAUAACAGUUGGAAACGACUGCUAAUACCGGAUGAUGACUUCGGUCCAAAGAUUUAUCGCCCAGGGAUGAGCCCGCGUAGGAUUAGCUUGUUGGUGAGGUAAAGGCUCACCAAGGCGACGAUCCUUAGCCGGUCUGAGAGGAUGAUCAGCCACACUGGGACUGAGACACGGCCCAGACUCCUACGGGAGGCAGCAGUGGGGAAUAUUGGACAAUGGGCGAAAGCCUGAUCCAGCAAUGCCGCGUGAGUGAUGAAGGCCUUAGGGUUGUAAAGCUCUUUUACCCGGGAUGAUAGUGACAGUACCGGGAGAAUAAGCCCCGGCUAACUCCGUGCCAGCAGCCGCCGUAAUAC
rnacentral:rRNA from 1 species